rnacentral:rRNA from 1 species
GAGUUUGAUCCUGGCUCAGGACGAACGCUGGCGGCGCGCCUAACACAUGCAAGUCGAACGAGCGAGAGGAGGUUUACUUUCUCAAGCGAGUGGCGAACGGGUGAGUAACGCGUGAGGAACCUGCCUCAAAGAGGGGGACAACAGUUGGAAACGACUGCUAAUACCGCAUAAGCCCACGACCCGGCAUCGGGUAGAGGGAAAAGGAGCAAUCCGCUUUGAGAUGGCCUCGCGUCCGAUUAGCUAGUUGGUGAGGUAACGGCCCACCAAGGCGACGAUCGGUAGCCGGACUGAGAGGUUGAACGGCCACAUUGGGACUGAGACACGGCCCAGACUCCUACGGGAGGCAGCAGUGGGGAAUAUUGCACAAUGGGGGAAACCCUGAUGCAGCGACGCCGCGUGAAGGAAGAAGUAUCUCGGUAUGUAAACUUCUAUCAGCAGGGAAGAUAGUGACGGUACCUGACUAAGAAGCCCCGGCUAACUACGUGCCAGCAGCCGCGGUAAUAC